rnacentral:rRNA from 1 species
GACGAACGCUGGCGGCGUGCUUAACACAUGCAAGUCGAACGAAGUGGCGAACGGGUGAGUAACGCGUAAUCAACCUGCCCUUCAGAGGGGGACAACAGUUGGAAACGACUGCUAAUCCCGCAUACUGAAGGAGGGGGUUGCGGUUGAUUAGCUAGUUGGCGGGGUAACGGCCCACCAAGGCGAUGAUCAGUAGCCGGUCUGAGAGGAUGAACGGCCACAUUGGGACUGAGACACGGCCCAGACUCCUACGGGAGGCAGCAGUGGGGAAUCUUCCGCAAUGGACGAAAGUGUGACGGGGCAACGCCGCGUGGAGGAUGACACUUUUCGGAGCGUAAACUCCUUUUGUUAGGGAAGCGGUACCUAACGAAUAAGCACCGGCUAACUCCGUGCCAGCAGCCGCGGUAAUAC